ACUUUGGCAGCACAUACUGUAUAUUAAGAUUGGAAUGGUACAGAGAAGAUUAGCAUGGCUCCUGCACUAGGUCAACACACAAAUUCAUAAAGUGUCUUUUUUU